rnacentral:rRNA from 1 species
ACGGGUGAGUAACGCGUAGGCAAUCUGCCUUCUAGAUGGGGACAACAUCCCGAAAGGGGUGCUAAUACCGAAUGUUGUAGUAUUUCCGCAUGGACUAGCUACUAAAGGUGGCCUCUGAAUAUGCUACCGCUAGAAGAUGAGCCUGCGUCUGAUUAGCUAGUUGGAGGGGUAACGGCCCACCAAGGCUUCGAUCAGUAGCCGGUCUGAGAGGAUGAACGGCCACACUGGGACUGAGACACGGCCCAGACUCCUACGGGAGGCAGCAGUGGGGAAUCUUCCGCAAUGGACGAAAGUCUGACGGAGCAACGCCGCGUGAGUGAAGAAGGUUUUCGGAUCGUAAAGCUCUUUCGUCAGGGACGAACGUAUUUCUUGUAAAUAAUGAGAGAUAGUGACGGUACCUGAAUAAGAAGCCACGGCUAACUACGUGCCAGCAGCCGCGGUAAUACGUAGGUGGCAAGCGUUGUCCGGAAUUAUUGGGCGUAAAGCGCGCGCAGGCGGGAUAUCAAGUCUGUCUUAAAAGUGCGAGGCUCAACCUCGUGAGGGGACAGAAACUGGUAUUCUUGAGUGUCGGAGAGGAAAGUGGAAUUCCAAGUGUAGCGGUGAAAUGCGUAGAGAUUUGGAAGAACACCAGUGGCGAAGGCGACUUUCUGGACGAUGUCUGACGCUGAGGCGCGAAAGCUAGGGGAGCGAACGGGAUUAGAUACCCCGGUAGUCCUAGCCGUAAACGAUGGGUACCAGGUGUAGGGGGUAUCGACCCCUCCUGUGCCGGAGUUAACGCAAUAAGUACCCCGCCUGGGGAGUACGGCCGCAAGGUUGAAACUCAAAGGAAUUGACGGGGGCCCGCACAAGCGGUGGAGUAUGUGGUUUAAUUCGACGCAACGCGAAGAACCUUACCAGGGCUUGACAUUGAGUGAAAGACCUAGAGAUAGGUCC